CCGGAUUAAUACCGCAUACGAUCUACGGAUGAAAGCGGGGGACCUUCGGGCCUCGCGCUAUAGGGUUGGCCGAUGGCUGAUUAGCUAGUUGGUGGGGUAAAGGCCUACCAAGGCGACGAUCAGUAGCUGGUCUGAGAGGACGACCAGCCACACUGGGACUGAGACACGGCCCAGACUCCUACGGGAGGCAGCAGUGGGGAAUUUUGGACAAUGGGCGAAAGCCUGAUCCAGCAAUGCCGCGUGUGUGAAGAAGGCCUUCGGGUUGUAAAGCACUUUUGUCCGGAAAGAAAUCCUUGACCCUAAUACGGUCGGGGGAUGACGGUACCGGAAGAAUAAGCACCGGCUAACUACGUGCCAGCAGCCGCGGUAAUACGUAGGGUGCGAGCGUUAAUCGGAAUUACUGGGCGUAAAGCGUGCGCAGGCGGUUUGCUAAGACCGAUGUGAAAUCCCCGGGCUCAACCUGGGAACUGCAUUGGUGACUGGCAGGCUAGAGUAUGGCAGAGGGGGGUAGAAUUCCACGUGUAGCAGUGAAAUGCGUAGAGAUGUGGAGGAAUACCGAUGGCGAAGGCAGCCCCCUGGGCCAAUACUGACGCUCA
rnacentral:rRNA from 1 species